CUGGUUACCAGCAACAAACAAAAAGCAAACUAUGAUGAUUUAAGAAGUUGCUGACUUUUUUUCUGUUAAAAAAUCCCGUAAUAUUUGUAAGAGAAUCAUGGCAGAUUCAGACGUGCCUCCAUUGGAGGAUAUGAGCGAUCUGCUUCAACACAUGGGAGUGUUGCGAGAGAACAUGGACGUAUCGAGCAGAAACCAGAAUCCAUUAUACGUCUCAAGUACCGAUUCAAAUAUACUACAUUCUAAACCACUACCUGACAAUAAAAGAGCAGAAGAAAGAAGCACUGAGAGGAACGUACACAAACCGAGUGGCACAGAGAUCUGCAAAGCCAAGACUGACACAAGGCAGACCUCGUCUAGUACGGCCAGCUCAGGGAUGUUUGGUGGACUUAAGAAGGGAUUUCUCUUUGGUGAUACCAAGAACAAGGCGGGUAAAGACAUUGCUAAUACAAGGCAUGACAGUGGUAAAAGUGCAAAGGAAACAUGUGAAGAGGAAAAUAUUCCGUAUAUUAAGCCAAAUACAAAAGAAGAUGAUUCCAAGUUUCGGUUUUCUGAAGUUCAGCAAGCUAUGGAAGCUUCACAGCAGUUCCUUGAGAAGAAAGACUGGGUCACAGAUGACCUACUGACCCAGAUUCAGCAGGACGAGACACUGAGCAAACGUCUGACUGAUCCGAGGUUCGUACAGGCUAUCGGCGAGUUUCAGAAAGACCCAAAAGCUGCGUCACAGAAAUAUCAGAACAACCCGGAAAUGCAGAAGUUUUUCACAGAUUUCUGCAACCUCAUGGGUGAUCAUUUCUCGAACCUGGCUGAAUCGAGUGUAGGACAGAAUGCAACAUCAGGCCCGACGGUUACCGAUAUUUCUGUCCAUGAUCCAGCCGGCUUAUCGUCAGAAGAAGACGAGAAGGUUCAGGAUAUUCUGGCCGACCCGGAACUCCGAGAGAUCCUCGUGGAUCCAGAAAUACAGAGUCUGUUUGAGAUGUUGAGGACGAGGCCGGAACAAGCGUCACGGUAUAUUCGGAGUGUUAAUAAUGAGAUGAGACAAAAAAUUCGAAAGCUGGUUGAGGCUGGACUGUUACAGUUACAAGUCUAGGUUGAGUGUUCAGAUCACACCAGUGGACCACAGAACAUCUCCGUCUGACAUUUACAACCAAAGCAGCAAACGUUUGUUGUUAACUUCAGGCUGUUGUAUCACAAACAAUGCCAGUGGGUACACAAUAUUUACGUCCCAUGAAUAUACCCAUCCAAGUAUUUGAAACUGGAUAGUUGCAGCUGCAACUGUGUAAAGAUUUUUGUAAGUAUUAUCAGAUAAAUUAAUUGAUUUAUUAUUAUAUGUAUGUUUAAUGUUACUGCUUAUUUGUAACAAGUUAAACUAAUAUGUUAACUUAUUAUGUUUAUUGCUACAUGUUAGCUUAUUAUUAUUGGGUUUUUUAAUGUUUAACUAAUACACUAACUAGUUCAAUGUAAUAUGAUAAUUUGUUCAUAAUCUGUUAUACUACUUCCAACCAGAAAAUGUGGAAUUUAUGUUCAGAUUGUUAUUAUUUUAAUAAAAAGCUGUUUUCUUUUAGAUUUUUUCUUUUCUUGUUGGAGUGUUUUUAAUUUGGCUUUUGUUAAAAAAAAAAAAUCAGUUUGAAGGUGGUGUGUGUGAUAGUGGCCAGAAAUUUUUUUCAUCAAUAAACCUUUUGUUUUAACAUGUUGAAUGCCCUUGCACGGAAAUGUGAAUAUGAAAAAGGAAUUUUGUAUAUGCACUAUAUUGAUAAAGGUGGAAAUGGAAUUAUGCACAAAAUCAGAUUAAUGUUUAAGCAGGUCUUAAAUAGAAUUUAAGACUAGAAAUUAACCAGAUGACAUUUAUCCUGCAAUCAUUGUCAAGUGUUUUGUCUAUAGGCAGACUACCACUCACCAGGAUGCCAUGUUCUGAAUUCUAGUUUUGUCUUUAGGAGGACUGCCACUCCCAAGACUGGUUUCACAACCUCACCAAGACCGAGCUCGAUGGUAUUUUAUCAGUUGCUCUCAUGGAUCACUGUCAAAACAAUGAUCAUACCAGCUCAGUGUCAAAUUGAUGUUAGCAGUCUACGACAUUAUAAAACCAA
rnacentral:misc_RNA from 1 species